GGUUUCAUGGGGUAGCGGUUAUCCCACGGGAUUCUGACUUUGUCAAUCUUCCCGUAACCCCGGUUCGAAUCCGGGUGAGACCU